CCUACGGGAGGCAGCAGUGGGGAAUAUUGCACAAUGGGCGCAAGCCUGAUGCAGCAACGCCGCGUGAGGGAUGACGGCCUUCGGGUUGUAAACCUCUUUUGUCAGGGAAGAAGCUUUCGGGUGACGGUACCUGGAGAAAAAGCACCGGCUAACUACGUGCCAGCAGCCGCGGUAAU
rnacentral:rRNA from 1 species